rnacentral:rRNA from 1 species
UACGUAGGGACCGAGCGUUGUCCGGAAUCAUUGGGCGUAAAGAGCGUGUAGGCGGCCACUUAAGUCCUGCGUGAAAUCCUGCGGCUCAACCGCAGGCGGUCGUGGGAAACUGGGUGGCUAGAGUGCGGGAGAGGAGAGUGGAAUUCCUGGUGUAGCGGUGGAAUGCGCAGAUAUCAGGAAGAACACCCGUGGCGAAGGCGGUUCUCUGGGACGGUACUGACGCUGAGACGCGAAAGCGUGGGGAGCGAACAGG